rnacentral:rRNA from 1 species
CGAAAGCCUGACGGAGCAACGCCGCGUGUGGGAAGAAGGCUCUUGGGCUGUCAACCACUUUUCUCAGGGAAGAAGUCCUGACGGUACCUGAGGAAUCAGCCUCGGCUAACUCCGUGCCAGCAGCCGCGGUAAUACGGAGGAGGCAAGCGUUAUCCGGAAUUAUUGGGCGUAAAGCGUCCGUAGGCGGUUUAUCAAGUCUGCCGUUAAAGACUGCAGCUUAACUGUGGGCGAGCGGUGGAAACUGAUGAACUAGAGUGUGGUAGGGGUAGAGGGAAUUCCCAGUGUAGCGGUGAAAUGCGUAGAUAUUGGGAAGAACACCAGUGGCGAAGGCGCUCUACUGGGCCACAACUGACGCUGAGGGACGAAAGCUAGGGGAGCG